AGAUAAUAGAUACCCUGGUAGUCCACGCCGUAAACGAUGAGUGCUAAGUGUUAGAGGGUUUCCGCCCUUUAGUGCUGCAGCUAACGCAUUAAGCACUCCGCCUGGGGAGUACGGUCGCAAGACUGAAACUCAAAGGAAUUGACGGGGGCCCGCACAAGCGGUGGAGCAUGUGGUUUAAUUCGAAGCAACGCGAAGAACCUUACCAGGUCUUGACAUCCUCUGACAACUCUAGAGAUAGAGCGUUCCCCUUCGGGGGACAGAGUGACAGGUGGUGCAUGGUUGUCGUCAGCUCGUGUCGUGAGAUGUUGGGUUAAGUCCCGCAACGAGCGCAACCCUUGAUCUUAGUUGCCAGCAUUUAGUUGGGCACUCUAAGGUGACUGCCGGUGACAAACCGGAGGAAGGUGGGGAUGACGUCAAAUCAUCAUGCCCCUUAUGACCUGGGCUACACACGUGCUACAAUGGAUGGUACAAAGGGCUGCAAGACCGCGAGGUCAAGCCAAUCCCAUAAAACCAUUCUCAGUUCGGAUU
rnacentral:rRNA from 1 species